rnacentral:rRNA from 1 species
GAACGCUGGCGGCGUGCUUAACACAUGCAAGUCGAACGGGAUUUAGUAGACAGAAGCUUCGGUGGAAGAUUACUAAUGAGAGUGGCGAACGGGUGAGUAACGCGUGAGCAACCUGCCUAUGACAGUGGGAUAGCCUCGGGAAACCGGGAUUAAUACCAAAUAAAAUCAUAAUGACACAUGUCAUAACGAUCAAAACUCCGGUGGUCUAAGAUGGACUCGCGUCCCAUUAGCUAGUUGGUAGAGUAAAAGCCUACCAAGGCGACGAUGGGUAGCCGGCCUGAGAGGGUGAACGGCCACAUUGGAACUGAGAAACG